AACGAACGCUGGCGGCGCGUCUUAAGCAUGCAAGUCGAACGGCAAGAGAGGAGCUUGCUUCUCUCCUAGAGUGGCGGACUGGUGAGGAACACGUGGGUAAUCUACCCUUAAGAUGGGGAUAGCUGCUAGAAAUAGCAGAUAAUACCGAAUACACUCAAUAUUUCAUAAGAGGUAUUGAGGAAAGGAAGCUACGGCUUCGCUUGAGGAUGAGCUUGCGUCCCAUUAGCUUGUUGGUGAGGUAACGGCCCACCAAGGCGACGAUGGGUAUCCGGCCUGAGAGGGUGAUCGGACACAUUGGGACUGAGAUACGGCCCACCACUCCUACGGGAGGCAGCAGCUAAGAAUAUUCCGCAAUGGACGGAAGUCUGACGGAGCGACGCCGCGUGGAUGAAGAAGGCUGAAAAGUUGUAAAAUCCUUUUGUUGAUGAAGAAUAAGGAGAAGAGGGAAUGCUUCUCUGAUGACGGUAAUCGACGAAUAAGCCCCGGCUAAUUACGUGCCAGCAGCCGCGGUAACACGUAAGGGGCGAGCGUUGUUCGGAAUUAUUGGGCGUAAAGGGCAUGUAGGCGGUUAUGUAAGCCUGAUGUGAAAUCCUGGGGCUUAACCCCAGAAUAGCAUUGGGUACUGUGUAACUUGAAUUACGGAAGGGAAACUGGAAUUCCAAGUGUAGGGGUGGAAUCUGUAGAUAUUUGGAAGAACACCGGUGGCGAAGGCGGGUUUCUGGCCGAUAAUUGACGCUGAGAUGCGAAAGUGUGGGGAUCGAACAGGAUUAGAUACCCUGGUAGUCCACACUGUAAACGAUGUACACUAGGUGUUGGGGCAAGAGCUUCAGUGCCAAAGCAAACGCGAUAAGUGUACCGCCUGGGGAGUAUGCCCGCAAGGGUGAAACUCAAAGGAAUUGGCGGGGGCCCGCACAAGCGGUGGAGCAUGUGGUUUAAUUCGAUGGUACGCGAGAACCUUACCUGGGUUUGACAUCUAGUAAAAGGUCUAGAGA
rnacentral:rRNA from 1 species